rnacentral:lncRNA from 1 species
GGUGAAAAAACUCCAACCCAGUCAUCAUUAGUUGGCUCAGGGUACUCAAAUUUAAUGUUGACCCAUUCCAUCCAAGAAUGAAAGGGUUAGCGUGAAUGUAAGCUGAUUUAUGGAGAGCAAUAACAGCUUUGUGAAUGGCGAUUUUGGCGAGUGGUUGUUCACCGAUGGGAACAUGAGGUCGAUGAUGCUCGAUACCAUUGUUUAGAAGACGAGAGUAAAAUGAAUCAUGACCACUAACUGUAU